AGAGUUUGAUCCUGGCUCAGAAUGAACGCUGGCGGCGUGCUUAACACAUGCAAGUCGAACGAGAAAGUUCCUUCGGGAACGAGUAUAGUGGCGAACGGGUGAGUAACGCGUAAGUAUCUACCUUUUUGUGGGGAAUACCUUCGGGAAACCGGAGUUAAUACCGCAUAAUCCUUUCGAGGGAAAGACGGCCUCUUUGCUGUCGCAGAAAGAUGAGCUUGCGUACUAUUAGUUAGUUGGUGGGGUAAAGGCCUACCAAGACAAAGAUGGUUAACCGGCCUGAGAGGGUGACCGGUCACAUUGGGACUGAGAUACGGCCCAGACUCCUACGGGAGGCAGCAGUGGGGAAUAUUGCACAAUGGACGAAAGUCUGAUGCAGCGACGCCGCGUGGAGGAUGAAGGGUUUCGGCUCGUAAACUCCUGUUAAGUGGGAAGAAAGUACUAACGUUAAUAGCGUUGGGAGAUGACGGUACCACUAGAGAAAGCACCGGCUAACUUCGUGCCAGCAGCCGCGGUAAUACGAGGGGUGCUAGCGUUAUUCGGAAUUACUGGGCGUAAAGGGCGCGUAGGCGGGCAAGUAAGUCAGCAGUUAAAGACCAUCGCAUACCGAUGGGGAGGCUAUUGAAACUACAUGUCUUGAGUGUGAGAGAGAGGAGUGGAAUUCUUGGAGUAGCGGUGGAAUGCGUAGAUCUCAAGAGGAACACCAGUGGCGAAGGCGGCUCCUUGGCUCACUACUGACGCUGAGGCGCGAAAGCGUGGGGAGCAAACAGGAUUAGAUACCCUGGUAGUCCACGCUGUAAACGAUGAUCACUAGAUGUCGGUUUCCAUUGAGGAGAUCGGUGUCGGAGCUAACGCGGUAAGUGAUCCGCCUGGGGAGUACGGUCGCAAGAUUAAAACUCAAAGGAAUUGACGGGGGCCCGCACAAGCGGU
rnacentral:rRNA from 1 species